rnacentral:tRNA from 1 species
GCCGGGAUGGCGGAAUUGGUAGACGCGCCUGACUCAAAAUCAGGUGAUGGCAACAUCGUGUGGGUUCAAGUCCCUCUCCCGGCA